GAUGAACGCUGGCGGCGUGCCUAAUACAUGCAAGUCGAGCGAACAGACGAGGAGCUUGCUCCUCUGACGUUAGCGGCGGACGGGUGAGUAACACGUGGAUAACCUACCUAUAAGACUGGGAUAACUUCGGGAAACCGGAGCUAAUACCGGAUAAUAUAUUGAACCGCAUGGUUCAAUAGUGAAAGACGGUUUUGCUGUCACUUAUAGAUGGAUCCGCGCCGCAUUGGCUAGUUGGUAAGGUAACGGCUUACCAAGGCAACGAUGCGUAGCCGACCUGAGAGGGUGAUCGGCGACCCUGGAACUGAGACACGGUCCAGACUCCUACGGGAGGCAGCAGUAGGGAAUCUUCCGCAGUGGGCGAAAGCUUGACGGAGCAACGCCGCGUGUGUGAUGAAGGUCUUGGGAUCGUAAUACUCUGUUAUUAGUGAAGAACAAAUGUGUAAGUAACUAUGCACGUCUUGACGGUACCUAAUCAGAAAGCCACGGCUAACUACGUG
rnacentral:rRNA from 1 species